ACCGGGAACAGUGGCGUGUGCCUGUAGUCCCAGCUACUUGGGAGGCUGAGGUGGGAGGAUUGCUUGAGCCCAGGAGUUCUGGGCUGUAGUGCACUAUGCCAAUCAGGUGUCCGCACUAAGUUCGGUAUCAGUAUGGUGACUUCCUGGGAAUGGGGGACCACCAGGUUGCCUAAGGAGUGGUGAACCGGCCCAGGUUAGAAACGGAGCAGGUCAAAACUCCCGUGCUGAUCAGUAGUGGGAUCACGCCUGUGCAUAGCCACUGCACUCCAGCCUGGGCAAUAUAGUGAGACCCCAUCUCU
rnacentral:SRP_RNA from 1 species